AUGGUAAUAUCAUGUUGAAACACUGGUUCUCAUAUGAUCUAUGAAGUUAAGGAACAUCAAGCCUGGUCAGUACCUAGAUGGGUGACCACUUGGGAAUACCAGGUGCUGUAAG